rnacentral:rRNA from 1 species
AUUGAACGCUGGCGGCAGGCCUAACACAUGCAAGUCGAACGAGUGGCGGACGGGUGAGUAAUGUCUGGGAAACUGCCUGAUGGAGGGGGAUAACUACUGGAAACGGUAGCUAAUACCGCAUACCAUCAGAUGUUCCCCGAUGGGAUUGGCUUGUUGGUGGGGUAACGGCUCACCAAGGCGACGAUCCCUAGCUGGUCUGAGUGGAUGACCAGCGACACUGGAACUGAUACACGGUCCAGAUGCCUACGGGAGGAAGCAGUGGGGAAUAUUGCACAAGGGGCGCAAGCCGGAUGCAGCCAUGCCGCGUGUAUGAAGAAGGCCUUCGGGUUGUAAAGUACUUUCAGCGGGGAGGCGUUACCCGCAGAAGAAGAACCGGCUAACUCCGUGCCAGCCGCCGCGGUAAUUC